rnacentral:rRNA from 1 species
UUUUAGUGGCGAACGGGUGAGUAACACGUGAGAAUCUGCCUUUAGGAAGAGGAUAACAUUUAGAAACAUUUGCUAAUACUCUAUAUGCUUUACAGUGAAAGAAUUUAUUCGCCUAAAGAGGAGCUCGCGUCUGAUUAGCUAGUUGGUGGGGUAAAGGCCUACCAAGGCGACGAUCAGUAGUUGGUCUGAGAGGACGGCCAGCCACAUUGGAACUGAGACACGGUCCAGACUCUUACGGGAGGCAGCAGUGAGGAAUUUUCUGCAAUGGGCGAAAGCCUGACAGAGCAAUACCGCGUGAGGGAUGACUGCCUACGGGUUGUAAACCUCUUUUCUCAAGGAGGAAGAUCUGACGUUACUUGAGGAAUAAGCAUCGGCUAACCCUGUGCCAGCAGCCGCGGUAAUACAGGGGAUGCAAGUGUUAUCCGGAAUUAUUGGGCGUAAAGCGUCUGCAGGUUGAUCUACAAGUCUUUUGUUAAAUUUUCAGGCUUAACCUGAAGUCAGCAAAAGAAACUGUUUAUCUUGAGUAUGGUAGAGGUAA